rnacentral:rRNA from 1 species
GAUGAACGCUGGCGGCGUGCCUAAUACAUGCAAGUCGAGCGAACAGACGAGGAGCUUGCUCCUCUGAUGUUAGCGCCGAACGGGGGGGAACCCCGUGAUAACCUAACUUUUAGGCUGGGGUUAAUUCGGGAAACCGGGAGCUAUUACCGAAUAAAAUGUUAAACGCCAGGGUUAAACGUUGAAAGCGGGUCUUCCUGUCACUUUAAGAGGGUCCGCGCCGCAUUAGCUAGUUGGUAAGGUAACGGCUUACCAAGGCAACGAUGCGUAGCCGACCUGAGAGGGUGAUCGGCCACACUGGAACUGAGACACGGUCCAGACUCCUACGGGAGGCAGCAGUAGGGAAUCUUCCGCAAUGGGCGAAAGCCUGACGGAGCAACGCCGCGUGAGUGAAGAAGGUCUUCGGAUCGUAAAACUCUGUUAUUAGGGAAGAACAAAUGUGUAAGUAACUAUGCACGUCUUGACGGUACCUAAUCAGAAAGCCACGGCUAACUACGUG